GGUGAGUAAUGUCUGGGAAACUGCCUGAUGGAGGGGGAUAACUACUGGAAACGGUAGCUAAUACCGCAUAACGUCGCAAGACCAAAGAGGGGGACCUUCGGGCCUCUUGCCAUCAGAUGUGCCCAGAUGGGAUUAGCUAGUAGGUGGGGUAACGGCUCACCUAGGCGACGAUCCCUAGCUGGUCUGAGAGGAUGACCAGCCACACUGGAACUGAGACACGGUCCAGACUCCUACGGGAGGCAGCAGUGGGGAAUAUUGCACAAUGGGCGCAAGCCUGAUGCAGCCAUGCCGCGUGUAUGAAGAAGGCCUUCGGGUUGUAAAG
rnacentral:rRNA from 1 species